rnacentral:rRNA from 1 species
UAGGGAAUCUUCGGCAAUGGACGGAAGUCUGACCGAGCAACGCCGCGUGAGUGAAGAAGGCUUUCGGAUCGUAAAGCUCUGUUGUAAGAGAAGAACGAGUGUGAGAGUGGAAAGUUCACACUGUGACGGUAUCUUACCAGAAAGGGACGGCUAACUACGUGCCAGCAGCCGCGGUAAUACGUAGGUCCCGAGCGUUAUCCGGAUUUAUUGGGCGUAAAGCGAGCGCAGGCGGUUAGAUAAGUCUGAAGUUAAAGGCUGUGGCUUAACCAUAGUAGGCUUUGGAAACUGUUUAACUUGAGUGCAAGAGGGGAGAGUGGAAUUCCAUGUGUAGCGGUGAAAUGCGUAGAUAUAUGGAGGAACACCGGUGGCGAAAGCGGCUCUCUGGCUUGUAACUGACGCUGAGGCUCGAAAGCGUGGGGAGCAAACAGGAUUAGAUACCCUGGUAGUCCACGCUGUAAACGAUGAGUGCUAGGUGUUAGACCCUUUCCGGGGUUUAGUGCCGUAGCUAACGCAUUAAGCACUCCGCCUGGGGAGUACGACCGCAAGGUUG